GUGUUUGCUUUGGCAGCACAUACACUAAAAAACUGGAACGAUACAGAGAAGAUUAGCAUGGCCCCUGAACAAGGAUGACAUGCAAAUUCAUGAAGCAUUACAUAUUUUU
ensembl:snRNA U6 U6 spliceosomal RNA